rnacentral:rRNA from 1 species
UACGGAGGGAGCUAGCGUUGUUCGGAAUUACUGGGCGUAAAGCGCGCGUAGGCGGCUUUGUAAGUUAGAGGUGAAAGCCCCGGAGCUCAACUCCGGAACUGCCUUUAAAACUGCAUCGCUUGAAUCCAGGAGAGGUGAGUGGAAUUCCGAGUGUAGAGGUGAAAUUCGUAGAUAUUCGGAAGAACACCAGUGGCGAAGGGCGGCUCACUGGACUGGUAUUGACGCGUGAG